CCCUAAUCUCUACUCCUCCUCUCCCCUCCUGCCCCUCCCUCCUUUUCUACCCCUCCCCCCAUCUUCUGUAUACGCUAAUCUCUACUCUUGCCUUGGCUCUUCCCCUCACCCAGCAGUUUGGCUACCACUUUUUGUGAGUUUGGCUUAUGUUCUCAGAAUCCCCUUUUCUACCUCAAGUAGCUAAUAAAACUAUUUUCUCAAACAAAGACAGUUCUCUUUCUCAGAGAAAUCCUGGAGCCAGUCAAUAAAGUUACAUAGUUUUAUUCCUGCUAUAUUAUAUUUAGCCAAGUUACUGAAAAGAGUGAAGGUAAUUUUUCAAGUUUCUUUUUCACCCUGAUUCAAAAAGAACUAACAGCACGCAUUUAACAUCAUCUAACAUCAAUACAUUACCCUUCCACAUGACCUCUAAGUUGACUCAGGUCUAAAACCUCCAUUAAACCUGUUGGAAAUUAUUUUAAAUUUUGCAGUCCCAUUGGAACAUUUAACCACACAUAUGAACUCUGAACCUUAUUUUUUAAUCUGUCAACUGUUGCAUUCAGCAAAUGAUUUAAACUAUGAUUUCAAAGAGGAGGGUUUGAAAACUAAGGACCUUCUAUACUUGUCACGUUCUAUAUGGAACUUGAGAAAGAAGGCUUAGUUUUUGCCUUUAUUCAAAAGAUCUUUCACACAACUAGUGUUGAUGUAGAUUGCCUAGUUGAAGAAUGUCAGUUUACGGUUUGUGGAGGAAAAUGAAAAUAAAUUCUGGUUUAAAAUCACUUCUUAGGAAACAGGCUGCUGCUGCCACCUGGGGGAGGUUCUUCCGCUCCCUUCAAGAAAGCCAAAUGUGCUCGUCAGACGGAUGAAUCCGUCCAUGUUUUCCUCGUCAGAUCCACACGGGAAGAAGACUUUCUAACUUUCUGCCCAUGAAGUUGUAAGGCAUUCUAGAUGUCUCCAAGAUUGCUUCACACAGAAAUACACACCGCACAGACUUUUUGAGAGGCACAGGAGAAGAUGCUUCUACAUCUUACACACUAAGAAAGUAUUUGGGAAAGUACGGGUUAUAUACUAAGAAGUGGAAAAGUCAAAUUUAAGCUUUCACUAAUAAAAUAAAACACCAAUUUUUAAGAAAAAUUUAUUUAGCCUCAAGUUAUAGUUAAUUGUACUCCUUUUCUGAAAUGUGCUAUCAUUAAUUGAUAUGGAAACUGCAUGUGCCAAUAUAAUCACGCUAGUGAUUGUAUCAGUUAGGAUAAGACAAUCACUUUCACUUACAUGGAAAUAGCCAAGAGAGGCUUUUUAGAGAAUUUCUAAAUUUAUGAACUGAAUACUGUUAUGAAGUCAACAUCUAUUUAUAGCAUGUAUAUUAUAUAUCCAUUUGUUGAAACUUUUCUUAUAGUCGUGAUAUGGUGCUCACCAAUUACAAUGGAAAACACACAGUCCCAGUCCCGGCGCGGCACAGCAACACCGCCACAGCACACAGUCCCGGUCCCGGCGUGGCACGGCGACACCGUCACAGCGCCCAGUCCCGGUCCCAGCACGGCACAGCAACACCGUCACAGUGCCCAGUCCUGGUCCCAGCGUGGCACAGCGACACCAUCACAGCACACACGCCCAGUCCCGGCAUGGCACGGCGACACCGUCACAGCACACAGUCCCGGGCACGGC
rnacentral:lncRNA from 1 species